UACGUAGGGUCCGAGCGUUGUCCGGAAUUACUGGGCGUAAAGAGCUCGUAGGUGGUUUGUCGCGUUGUUCGUGAAAACUCACAGCUCAACUGUGGCGUGCGGGCGGAUACGGGCAGACGUAGAGUUCGGCAGGGGAGGACUGGAAUUCCGUGGUGAUAGCGGUGAAAUGCGCAGAUAGUCAGGAGGAACACCCGGUGGCGAAGGCGGGU
rnacentral:rRNA from 1 species